rnacentral:lncRNA from 10 species
AUUUUAUGUCCACAUUUAGAUGUAUCUGGGAAGAUCUCUAAACUGACACCACUGUGAGAGGCCCCUGGGAUUCACAAAUAUCAUUUCCAUGACACUCAGAAAACGGGGGAAAAGAGGAAAAUGUGAGCGGUGAUAAAUUGGAGCUAAUCUCUUUCUGCCACAACCUGAAAUGAUACUUGGCCAGAUGUACACACCUGAAUUCAGGAUUUACCCAGAGAAGCCUGCCCAGAACUUUGAGCACAGUAGGUCCUCAAUAAACAUUUCCUAGGGGGCUAACUGAAAGGAAAACAAUCAAAACAAAACAAUAAAAUUAAGGUGUUGGAAGAAGCUGUGCUCUUAUCUUGGCUCUGGCAACAGAUAUCUCUUUAACCUUGGAAAAUUUCUUUGGACAUCAGAUUCUUCAUCUAUAAAGAUAAUCUCCAGUUUCCUUUGUGGCUCUAAAAUUCUCUAACUUGAAGAAAAACAGCUGCAAAAGGAUUCUUUGUUAUCUGGUCUGCUAAGCUGUUCAGGCAGAGGAAUGAGACCAGCUGAGCCUGGAUCCAUCGCUGUGUCCAACUUUUUAAACUCAAGUUCCUUCUAUUUCUUCCAGCUGUUCUUGCUGGUCCUGUUUUAUUUAUUUAUUUUUUUAGACUAUGCAAGUUCAAAGCAAUGAGCCCAUUGCUAUGAUUAAAAGACCACUGGGUCUGUGCCAUCACUAUCUGACAGGGCUGGAACCAAAAGCUCUGCACACCAAGAGGAGAAAAUGUGUUCACAAACCAGAGAAGUCCUGUUUGAGGAGUGGGAAGGGACUGGCAGCUCAGGUAGGUGGAGGGAGAAGGAAGGUGGGCGACACUGGCUCUGGCUGCAGUCUCCCCUAACAAAGCCCCAUCCACCUGACCAAUUGAAGGCUUGGCCAGAGUUAUGAGUUUUCUAAACUCAAUCAGAACACAGCCUGCUCUGACCUAUAGAAGGUCACUCAACCGUACUGAAUACUUGUCAGCAUUCCAUGGCUAAAGAUAAAGUGAAUGGACGUCCAAGACAGAUUUAGAAAUGUCCCUGUAUAUCCCUGGAACCUGUGAGCAUCUGUCUGGGUGUGAAGAGCACAGGGGUGGAUUUCCCUUCCCUGAGCACCGAUGCUCUCCGCAUAGGAACCUGUAGUGCCUGCUCCAAAGCCAGCAUCUUGUCACUGUCACUCAGCAGCUUGAGAAGCAAAGGCACAGGGAGUGCCACACCUCCCUGCACAAGGGUUCACUUUGAAACCCGUAGAGAAGGUGAGGGCAACAGCAUGAACAGCCUGACCUGCAGGUGGCCCAGCCCACAUUCCACAGGGCUCAUGUGGAACCCCAAGUGGCCUGGG